rnacentral:lncRNA from 1 species
AAUGGAGGGUUUGAAGAUUGUGCUUGAAAAGGGGAGUAGUUUCUCCUCUAUAUAGGCAUGUUCUGACUGCCUUUUUGACCUUGUAGUAUCAACGAAACAUCCUCCUUUUUUCUUUUUAUGGACCCUCCGGGGGUUGUUUCCAUAAGAUCCGGAUUGGAUGUGCUCAACAACUGCUUUAAGAGCGGCUAGGUCUUGAAUCUUACCGGACUUCAGUCCCAUCUUAGCCAUUUCUCUGUGUUUGAUCAUUUUAGAAAAUAGUUUGCCAAUACCAGCUAAGACUCUCUCAUAAAAAGGAGCUUCUUGUAUGUCUAUGAAAGUCAUAACCCUUUCUGACUCUGUCAUGGAAGGAAUAACUUGAGUAGCAAGGCGCCUCCACCUUUAAGCAUAUUCUCUAAAAGACUCAUUAGACUAUUUCUUAACCUUGGUAAUCUGGUAUCGGUCAGGAGCCAUCUGAGAUUGAAAACUGUAUUCAGUGAGGAAGGUGUGAGCUAG